rnacentral:ribozyme from 1 species
UUAAAAAAAAAAAAAAAAAAAAAAAUUUCUUUUCUUUUUUUUUGAGAUACCAUGUACGCACAUGACGACAGUACGAGGUAGUAAUAUAAGAGAAAAUAUAU